rnacentral:tRNA from 1 species
GGAGGCGUACCCAAGUUUGGCUGAAGGGGACUGACUCGAAAUCAGUUAGGGCGUUUACCGUCGCAGGGGUUCAAAUCCUCUCGCCUCCG